rnacentral:pre_miRNA from 1 species
AGUGGGAUAGCUGGGUCAAAUGGUGGUUCCAUUCCAAAUUUUCUGAGGAAUCUCCAUACUGCUUUCCAGAGUAGUUAGUUGCACCAAUUUGCAGUCCCACCAGCAAU